GAAAAAAUAUAGCACAUACUCUAAAAUUGGAGUGAUACAGAGAAGAUUAGCACGGUCUCUGCACAAGGAUGAUAUGCAAAUUCAUGAAGCUUUCUACAUUAAA
ensembl:snRNA U6 U6 spliceosomal RNA